rnacentral:rRNA from 1 species
AUUGAACGCUGGCGGCAUGCCUUACACAUGCAAGUCGAACGGUAACGCGGGGCAACCUGGCGACGAGUGGCGAACGGGUGAGUAAUACAUCGGAACGUGCCCAGUAGUGGGGGAUAGCCCGGCGAAAGCCGGAUUAAUACCGCAUACGACCUACGGGAGAAAGCGGGGGAUCGCAAGACCUCGCGCUAUUGGAGCGGCCGAUGUCAGAUUAGCUAGUUGGUGGGGUAAAGGCCUACCAAGGCGACGAUCUGUAGCUGGUCUGAGAGGACGACCAGCCACACUGGGACUGAGACACGGCCCAGACUCCUACGGGAGGCAGCAGUGGGGAAUUUUGGACAAUGGGGGCAACCCUGAUCCAGCCAUGCCGCGUGCGGGAAGAAGGCCUUCGGGUUGUAAACCGCUUUUGUCGGGGAAGAAACGGUCUGCGCUAAUACCGCGGGCUAAUGACGGUACCCGAAGAAUAAGCACCGGCUAACUACGUGCCAGCAGCCGCUGUAAGAC